CCUACGGGGGGCAGCAGUGAGGAAUAUUGGUCAAUGGACGCAAGUCUGAACCAGCCAUGCCGCGUGAAGAAAGACGGCUCUAUGAGUUGUAAACUGCUUUUGUACGAGGGUAAACGCAGAUACGCGUAUCUGUCUGAAAGUAUCGUACGAAUAAGGAUCGGCUAACUCCGUGCCAGCAGCCGCGGUAAUACGGAGGAGUCAAGCGUUAUCCGGAUUUAUUGGGUUUAAGGGGUGCGUAGGCGGUCGUGUAAGUUAGAGGUGAAAUCCCGGGGCUCAACUUCGGAAUUGCCUCUGAUACUGUUUGGCUAGAGAGCAGUAGCGGUAGGUGGAAUGUAUAGUGUAGCGGUGAAAUGCUUAGAGAUCAUACAGAACACCGAUUGCGAAGGCAGCUUACCAAGCU
rnacentral:rRNA from 1 species